CCUACGGGGGGCAGCAGUGGGGAAUAUUGGACAAUGGGGGGAACCCUGAUCCAGCCAUGCCGCGUGUGUGAAGAAGGCCCUCGGGUUGUAAAGCACUUUCAGUGAGGAAGAACGCCUGGUGGUUAAUACCCAUCAGGAAAGACAUCACUCACAGAAGAAGCACCGGCUAACUCCGUGCCAGCAGCCGCUGUAAUACGGAGGGUGCGAGCGUUAAUCGGAAUUACUGGGCGUAAAGCGCGCGUAGGUGGCUUGAUAAGCCGGUUGUGAAAGCCCCGGGCUCAACCUGGGAACGGCAUCCGGAACUGUCAAGCUAGAGUGCAGGAGAGGAAGGUAGAAUUCCCGGUGUAGCGGUGAAAUGCGUAGAGAUCGGGAGGAAUACCAGUGGCGAAGGCGGCCUUCUGGACUGACACUGACACUGAGGUGCGAAAGCGUGGGUAGCAAACAGGAUUAGAUACCCCUGUAGUC
rnacentral:rRNA from 1 species